UAUUGCGUUCGUAUAUUGGUAUGACGUUGGCCUCGUCGUCGUCGUCCGAAGACACAUUGGUUUUCGCACUCUAACUUUAGUUAAAGUGAAUGGAUCUCUAUGAAAUUUUACCAUAAGGUUCAAUACCAGAAAAGGAAGGUGGGGAUUGAUUUUUGGGGGUUAUGGUACCAACAGUUAAGGAAUUAGGGGCCAAAAAUUAGCAUUUUUGUAACUUCCAGAUAUAACUUGUGUGUAAGUGUAUGGAUCUCUCUGACAUUGUACCACAAGGUGCCAUAUCACAAAGGGAAUGCUGGGAUUGAUUAUGGGGGUAAUUGCUUCCAAAUUUUAAGGAAUUAGGGGCCAAAAAGAGGCAAAAAACAAGCAUUUUUCUAGUUUCAUGACAAUAACUUGUGUGUAAGUCUAUGGAUCUCUCUGACAUUGUACCACAAGGUUCCAUAUCACAAAGGGAAUGCUGGGAUUGAUUUUGGGGGUAAUUGCCUCCAAAUUUUAGGAAUUAGGGGCCAAAAAGGGGCAAAAAACAAGCAUUUUUCUAGUUUCAUGACAAUAACUUGUGUGUAAGUGUAUGGAUCUUUAUGAAAUUGUACUACAAGGUUCCAUAUUACAAAGGGAAAGCUGGAAUUGAGUUUGGGGGUAAUUGCCCAAAACGUUUAGGAAUAAGGGGCCAAAAAUAAGCAUUUUUCUAGUUUCCAGACAAUAACUUGUGUUCAAGUGUAUGGAUCUCUCUGAAAUUGUACUGCAAGGUACCAUACCACAAAGGGAAGGCUGGGAUUGAGUUUGGGGGUAAUUGCCUCAAAAUUUUAGGAAUUAGUUGCCAAAAAGGGGGCAAAAAACAAGCAUUUUCUAGUUUCAGGACAAUAACUUGUGUGUAAGUGUAUGGAUCUUUAUGAAAUUGUACUACAAGGUUCCAUAUCACAAGGGAAAGCUGGGUUUGAGUUUGGGGGUAAUUGCCCUAAAUGUUUAGGAAUUUGGGGCCAAAAAGGGGCCAAAAAAACAAGCAUUUUUCUAGUUUCCAGACAAUAACUUGUGUUCAAGUGUAUGGAUCUCUCUGAAAUUGUACUGCAAGGUACCAUACCACAAAGGGAAGGCUGGGAUUGAGUUUGGGGGUGAUGAAUCAUAAGGGGGUUCAAAAAAAUGGGGGGGGGGGAUAUUUUUUUCCUUUUUUUUCUUUAAAAUUUUCCAUUUUAAAUUGGUUAUUU